UACGUAGGGGGCUAGCGUUGUCCGGAAUCAUUGGGCGUAAAGCGCGCGUAGGCGGCCCGGUAAGUCCGCUGUGAAAGUCGGGGGCUCAACCCUCGAAUGCCGGUGGAUACUGUCGGGCUAGAGUGCGGAAGAGGCGAGUGGAAUUCCAGGUGUAGCGGUGAAAUGCGUAGAUAUCUGGAGGAACACCGGUGGCGAAGGCGGCGUUCUGGACUGCAACUGACACUGAGGAACGAAAGCCAGGGGAGCAAACGGG
rnacentral:rRNA from 1 species